ensembl:lncRNA POT1-AS1 POT1 antisense RNA 1
UAACGGUUCACACACUGAUGGCGCCUGGAGGUUUGGCGAAAUACUGACAGGAUGCGACGUCAACGGGAGCGCAGGGCCAAGAUACCCUUUAUAUCAAACCGUCUAUCCUGGAGCAGAAAAAUCCUGUCUUCAUUGCUAUAGCUACAGAUUCAGAAAUGAGCAUGUAACAAAUUCAGGCCAAAGAGAGGCAAUGGAAAUCAGAGAAACACUGUUCCUGAAAGCUUCUGUCACUCAAGAAUCCAUGAAACAUUCAUGAACUUCACAUCAGGACCCCAGUUAUUCCAGCUGUUAAAUGGAGUGGAUCAAAAGGCUGAUUAAAUGUAACGGAUUCCAAAGAAUGGCUGGCACAUACCAUCCUUGCCCUAGAAUGAGUAAAGGACUCAAGAGCGGACCUUACUAUGAGGAAGAAGAAGGGAGAGAAAAAGAAUAUAUCUCUCUGAAGUAUUUCAGCAGAAGAUAACAAAUAUUACUGGAAAGAGUUGAUGUGAAACCUGUGUACAAUUUUAGACGGUUCCCCAGGGCAUGUUCACUGACAUCAAGGUGCAGAACUUACUUUAAGUAGCACUACGUAUGAGGGCUGUACAUCUCACAAACAAAACAGAAAGACAAUAACUUUAGUAAAAAGAUGGAUACCAUUCAAGCCCAAGGAAAACCAAUGCUUCUUUUCAUCUAUGGACUCAAGUCUCAGAAAGCAGAGAAGUGAGUGUACCAAGUGCAACAAACGUUUGAGCAUUGUUCUGCUGCCAAUAUUGAAGACAGCCACUGCUUUGAAGUGUGGGGAGGAGAGCUAGAGCAUAUUUGCCUGCCACAGUUAGUUUUGUGUUUCCAUGGAAUUUGAGCAAAACUGAUGCACUUGUCUCCCAGGAUUAAUCCAUACAAGUCACCUCUAAAAUUAUCUUUUCCCAUUCGUUGACUGAGCAAAAUGGACUUCAAGGACCUAAAGGAGGUUAAAUACCACAAGAUGGAGGAGCUUGAGUCUCUGAAUCAUUGUGUGUGAAGUCAUCUGCCAAUUACAUAAAUUGAAUUCUUGGGAAUUCUUGGUAUGAUAGGACAUGAAAGCUGAGAGAAAACCCUUCUACCUAGGAACUCCGGAGUUUCAACUACCAGAGACUGAAGGCAGGAGAGAAAAACUAAGACAAAUGACUUCAAAGCCUUUCUGAAAUGCCACAGAGGGUCAGGAUUACAAUCUGCCUAUUCUGAUUCUUCUACUAUGGGAAAAAAUCUUUUUCAGAAUUGAUGUAAAGCCUCUGUUAAUACUUUUCCUGUUAACAACCUAACUAUUCAACUGCUGAAUAAAAACCAUUAGGACAACUAAAGAAACUGAGAGAUUUUGGCAAGAAAUAGUCAUUCCAAUAUCAAUGACUACGGAGGAAAUGCAAUUACUUUUCUUUGCUUAAGUUUUCCAGGGCCUUUCUCUGUUGCCCAGGCUGGAGUGCAGUGAGGCAAUCUUGGCUCACCACAAUCUCUCCCUCCUGGAUUCAAGCAAUUCUCCUGCCUCAGCCUCCCGAGUAGCUGGGAUUACAGGCAUGCACCACUACACCCGGAUAAUUUUUGUAUUUUUAGUAGAGAUGGGGUUUUACCAUGUUGGCCAGGCUGGUCUUGAACUCCUGACCUCGUGAUCAGCCUGCCUCGGCCUCCUAAAGUGCUGGGAUUACAUGCAUGA